rnacentral:lncRNA from 1 species
GGAAUUUGGGCCUAGGGAUUUGAAAAUAAGAUUUGAUUAUUUGGAGGCCGAAUUGUUGUCGGAUUUUGGUAAAAUUUGUAUGGUUGGAAUCGUGGUUGGAUGGGGGUUCAUAUUCCGUAAUUUUUGUCGGGUUCCGAGACGUGGGCCCCACAUGCAAAAUUUUAGUGCAAUUUCGGAUUUUUAAUGGAAAAUGUAGAAUUUCAUAUGGAAUUAAUUCCUAUAAUUUUUAUUGACUGAAUCGAAUUAUUUGGCUAAAUUCGAGGCAUUCUGAGGUCGAUUUGAGCGGCAAAGGCAUUGCUGAGUAAGAGUUUUGCUAGGUAAGUAACGGUUAUAAAUCUGGUCCUGAGGGUAUGAAACCCCAGACAUUAUGUCGUAUGACUAUUUUGGAGGUGACACACAUGCUAGGUGUCGGGCGUGUGGGUGUGCACCGUAAUUGUGACUUGGUCCAUUCCGCGAGACUGUGGAAUUAAUUGACCUACUGUUUAAUACAUGUUCCCUCUGUUUUCAUAGAAAUUGACUGUAUUUCAUGUUAGAAAUCAUGUUUAGGCCUUAUGUGAUCAUUGUUGAGACCUGCGAGGUCGUGUACUUGUUGAAUUAGCUGCUAAUUGUUGUUUUGUACUUAGUCAUAGCUUUUCUUGCUUAUUAUGCCUCCGUCUCCUACUGUUCAUUGUUGAUAUAUGAUAUUACUUCUCUUUGGGUUGUUUAUAUGAUUUCUGAGAUCCCGAGAGACUAGAGAGAUUGAUGACUGAGUGAGGCCGAGGGCCUAAGUGUGAGGUUAUUGAUACUAUAGCACGUGAGUUGUCCGUGCGGAUCCAGAUAUUAUUAUAGCACGUGAGUUGUCCGUGCAACACGUGAGUUGUCCAUGCAGUUUAUAGCGCUUGGGCUGAAGGAGCCCCUCCGGAGUCUGCACACCCUCAAUGAGCGCAGUCAACUAUAUAUAUGGAUCGGGCUGCACGCAGCGGUUAUUAUAAGGUACCUGCUGAGUGUGAGUGAUGAUUGAUGAGAGUUGAGCCAUGAGGGACUGGGAGGCUUGCCCGAUGGGCUAUAUAUACAUACAUACGAGUGAUGCUUUGCCCGAGGAGCUUGUUUUGUGAAAUUACUCUCUUCACUCAUCUUUAUACUGAGCCUCUAUUAAAAACAUUAAACAAAUAUUUUGAACAACUUUCAUUGAAACUGGAUUUUUUACGAGAUGAUUGGAAUUAAAUUACUGAUUUGGUUUUGUUAUUUCCACUGAGAUUUUUAAGUUAUGAGAUAAGCUGAGUGACUGUUGCCUUGAGAGGAUGUAUUUGUUUUCAGUUAAUUGCUGCACUUAAUUGCUAUUUAUCCUUGUCGUACAUAUUUAUGGAGUAUUUGAUAUCUGGUUUAUUUGAGUACGCACUGAUGAGACUUAAACUGUUAAAUUGAAAGUAUGACUAUUCUUGUUGAAAGUUAUUGAGAUAACUGUAUUUUCAUAACUCGUCACUACUUCUCAGUUCCUUAUUUAUUUCUGUUACUUACUGAGUUGGUGUACUCACGUUACCUCCUGUACCUCGUGUACAUAUCCAGGCACUUCUGGUCACGGAGGUUGUUGAUUGAGGAGUCCAACUCAGGAGACUAUUGAGGUAGCUGCAUAGCAUUCAUUGACCAUGACUCUCAUGUCCUUUCAUGUUGUACUGUUCUAUAUUUCAGACAGUGUUUUAUCAGUCGGAUGUUGUUAUCAUUUAGAUGUUCAUGCACUCAGUGACACCAGGUUUUGGGGAUGGAUUGUUUAGUACUUUUGGAGUGAUAUUUUGUU